rnacentral:rRNA from 1 species
CCUACGGGUGGCAGCAGUGGGGAAUAUUGGACAAUGGGCGAACGCCUGAUCCAGCCAUGCCGCGUGUGUGAAGAAGGCCUUCGGGUUGUAAAGCACUUUCAGUUGGGAAGAAAGCCUUGGGGCUAAUACCCUCGAGGAAGGACAUCACCCACAGAAGAAGCACCGUCUAACUCCGUGCCAGCAGCCGCGGUAAUACGGAGGGUGCGAGCGUUAAUCGGAAUUACUGGGCGUAAAGCGCGCGUAGGCGGUCUGAUAAGCCGGUUGUGAAAGCCCCGGGCUCAACCUGGGAACGGCAUCCGGAACUGUCAGGCUAGAGUGCAGGAGAGGAAGGUAGAAUUCCCGGUGUAGCAGUGAAAUGCGUAGAGAUCUGGAGGAAUACCAGUGGCGAAGGCGGCCUUCUGGACUGACACUGACGCUGAGGUGCGAAAGCGUGGGUAGCAAACAGGAUUAGAUACCCCAGUAGUC